rnacentral:lncRNA from 1 species
AUCAGAGUUCACUGAAGAAGAGGCAUGAAAACACUUUGGAAAAUUCAAGGCACUACACAAAUGUGAGGAAUGAUUAUUGAGUAAAAACUUUCAAAGCUGCCUCACAAAAUUCCUGAAAACGUAACAGCUGGCUCUUGUGAUCUGCAGGAACCCACUCCAGCACGUCACCGCAACGAGUGGGCCCACCAGGGCAUCUUGUCGCCAAGCUGGAAAGCAAGUGUAUGGGAGAGCAUGUGAAUGUGAGCCAUACUCCAGAAGAAAUGUCAGACGGGCUGAGAGUAAGGAGGUCCAGGGUCGUGAUGCAGUGAGCACAAAGGACAAGACGGAAGGAACGGAGAGCCAGCAGAAGAGUACCCCAGGGGUUCAAACCAAGCAAUGAAAAGUGUAACAUCGAAGGGGAAAGAAGG